rnacentral:rRNA from 1 species
AUGUUCGAGGAGCUGAAACUAGUUUUCCAAGCUCAUGCCCGGGUCGAGAGAUAUGAUGUCUCCGACAAGUUCUUCAGCUGUAAAAUGGAGGAGAACAGUUCUGUCAGUGAGCACAUACUCAGAAUGUCUGGGUUGGACAACCGCUUGUCUCAGCUGGGAGUUAAUCUCCCGGAUGACGCGGUCAUUGACAGAAUCCUCCAGUCGCUUCCACCAAGCUACAAGAGCUUUGUGAUGAACUACAAUAUGCAGGGGAUGGAAAAGACCAUUCCCGAGGUAUAUUCAAUGCUGAAAUCAGUGGAAGGGGAGAUCAGAAAAGAACAUCAAGUGUUGAUGGUGAAUAAAACCACCAAGUUCAAGAAGGACGGCAAGGGAGUUGCCGCGCCCGGUAAACCAGUUACUGGGAAGAAGUCAAAGAAUGGACCCAAGCCCGGGACUGAGUGCUUUUAUUGCAAGGGAAGUGGUCACUGGAAGCGGAACUGCCCCAAAUAUUUAGCGGACAAGAAGAAGGCCGGCAACCCCCAAGGAACUACGGAAUAA